AACAGGUGAAACUGAUUAAAACCCCACAAGCCCACUGCGUUGGAAACGACAAACUGAACGGACCAGACUGUGGAAGAGAAACCCGGAGGUGAAUUAGAGUAAGUUAGUUGUUCUAUGGCCUCGUACCAAACAUUAGAAAGUUAACAUUUUAAGGACAAGCUUGUUUUUCAGUUAUGGACAAGCUUAUGGCGUCAGAAGCUGUUGGAUAUUACAAAAAAGGACCAGAAAUAUGGACCCGGUCAUCUCUGUGGGAAGAAGAAUUACCUUCAACCAUAAAUCAGUGGCACUACGUAUGAUAAAGAGACAAGAAAAGCUCCCCGGGGACAUCGAGAUCAUGACGUGCACAAAAGGAAUGUGAGAGGCCUUUGCUUCGCUGGAACAUUCAUGAAAUUACAAGCUUUUGUUUUGCUUUGGUUCCUUUUCAUCUGGUUGAAGAACAUGCAUUCACACAGCGUCCUUUUUAACACACAGUAGUGGAGAUCCUCGAGUCGCAGGAUGACCUGAAGGCAUGAAAUCUGAAAGAUGGCCUUUGGGACCAACUUUUGUUAUGUUUUUCAGAAGUUCAAAUAAAAUAAAUGAUUAUAAC
ensembl:lncRNA